UACGUAGGGGGCGAGCGUUGUCCGGAGUUACUGGGCGUAAAGCGCACGCAGGCGGUCUGCUAAGUUUGGAGUGACAGUUGGUGGCUUAACUGCCAAAGUGCUUCGAAAACUGACAGACUUGAGGGCUUCAGAGGGACACGGAAUUCCGGGUGGAGUGGUGAAAUGCGUAGAGAUCCGGAGGAACACCAAAGGCGAAGGCAGUGUCCUGGGGAGUACCUGACGCUCGAGGUGCGAAAGCCAGAGGAGCGA
rnacentral:rRNA from 1 species